rnacentral:rRNA from 1 species
AUACGGAGGGUGCAAGCGUUACUCGGAAUCACUGGGCGUAAAGCGCGCGCAGGCGGCUUGAUAAGUUGGAUGUGAAAGCCUACGGCUCAACCGUAGAACUGCAUCCAAAACUGUCAAGCUAGAGUCUGGGAGGGGAAGAUGGAAUUAGUUGUGUAGGGGUAAAAUCCGUAGAGAUAACUAGGAAUACCAAAAGCGAAGGCAAUCUUCUGGAACGCUACUGACGCUGAGGCGCGAAAGCGUGGGGAGCAAACAGGAUUAGAAACCCUAGUAGUCC